UCCUAAGAACUAUAACCUAUCUUAUUACUAAAUCUUUAUACUGAAUAUUAUAUUUUUUUUCUCGAAAUUUAUGAUUAUUAACUCUUUUUUUCUUUUCUUUUAGUUCCAAAAAAGGAGACAGCAAAUUUUAUGGACGUCACAUAUAUAUAUAAAUAUAUCUAUCAAGGACAACACAACGUUUACGCUUCUUUCCGGAGGAAACAGAUUUUGAACGCCAGGCAAACCCUGAAAUGAAGCUGGACUUGUUGACUGGUCCUUUUACAAUGCCGGCGUUCUGGGCGGGAUCAAUAACAGGCACAGCAAAAAGCUCAAAGUUGCAGCUGGCCAGUUUACAAUUCAAAUCUCCACACCCUCAAUGUAACUUUUUUUGGCUUUUUUCUCCUGUGGACAACUUGCCACUACCUUGCGUUACCAAAAAGAAAAGGCAAUUUCCCGCCGUUGUGCUGACCAAAACCGGACAAUUUUCGGUGCUUCCAAAAAAGCUUGAUACACCACCGGAAUAUUCCUGUUGGAGCAACACACAUCACAUAUAACAACACAUUACUCAACAAACCACUGUUACAAACUACUUACACAAUAAAAAAAUCGCAACACACAAAUUAAA